rnacentral:rRNA from 1 species
AUGUUCAACAGGUUAUUUGGGAAGCCCAAGGAGCAGGCCAACGCCGGCGCGUUGGCCACUUUGGAUAAGUUAAACGAGACUCUUGAUAUGCUGGAGAAGAAAGAGAAAGUGUUAGAGAAAAAAGCAGGCGCUGAGCUUGAGAGGGCCAAGGAAUUCUCAAAAGCAAAGAAUANNNNAGCGGCUAUCCAAUCAUUGAAGAGGAAAAAACUUUAUGAGCAGCAAAUUGAGCAGCUUGGGAAUUUCCAGUUGAGAAUCCAUGAUCAGAUGAUCAUGUUAGAAGCUGCUAAAGCUACAACAGAGACUGUUGAUGCAUUGAGGACUGGAGCUAAAGCUAUGAAAGCGAUGCAAAAAGCAACAAAUAUCGAUGAUGUCGACAAGACUAUGGACGAAAUUAAUGAACAGACAGAAAACAUGAAACAAAUACAAGAUGCUCUGUCAGCUCCUCUUGGAGCUUCUGCUGAUUUUGACGAGGAUGAACUGGAAGCGGAGCUGGAAGAGUUGGAGGGAGCAGAGUUGGAAUCCCAACUACUGGAGCCUGUUGUAACUAUUCCUAUUCAUACGACGCCCGUCCCAGGCAAGGCGCAACCAACUCGCCCUGCUCCACAGAAAGCAUCGGCUGAGGAGGAUGAGCUUGCUGCACUGCAAGCUGAAAUGGCAUUGUGA